rnacentral:tRNA from 1 species
GCCGCGGUGGUGGAAUUGGUAGACACGCUAGUCUUAGGAACUAGUGUCGUAAAGACGUGGAGGUUCGAGUCCUCUCCGCGGCACCA